UUCAUUUCAAAAUUCCUGACGAAAUCAAUGUAUUUAACUGCAAUGGUUUAGUCCUGUAUUCUUUCUUAUUUCCGAGCUUACUUUAUUAUUUGGACUCCGGUUUUUUUUUUUUUUUAUAAGUAGUAUUUGAACUCUUGUUGUGGAGUUGGGCCACCUGAUAUGAGUCAGCCGGGGAAGACAAUGGAAGCGUCCUUCGUGGUCGUGUAUAAGUCUGAGUCUGCAUCUGAUGGAAAUGAGACUCAUUUGCCAUCAAUUGAAGCAGGACCCAAUGGUCCGUUGUAGGCUCACAACUCUGGGUUUCACUCAACUAUAACUGGAACGUAUCUUCCAUGCAUGGAUGAAGAGUUCAUGAAUUUCAACCUCUUAAAUGUGAUGUUGGGAGAUGAAACGAGAACUGAGAUCUGAGAGAGAGGACAAGAUCUAAAGCAGAGGAAGACAAUGAAAUGUAGCACUGAAGAAGAAUAAAAUGCGGAGGAUCUUCCAAAGCACACUAUCUCAAAGAAAUUUCUGGCUACAGCAGCCUCGAUGCAUAUCCCAGCUAGCCCAUAACCAUACCCAAAACACACUUGAAGAAGAAUAUGAUUUUCUCGUGCCCAAAAUACCCCAUUUCGACUACAUUCCUCCACCUUACACUGGCCCAUCUGCAUCUAAGAUCUUGGAGAAGCGCAAGAAGUACCUCAACCCUUCUAUAUGCACUUUGGAGUUUGCCAGUGAUGUUGUGCAUAAAAGGUGGUGGAAGGUGCAUGAUGCCAUGUCAGAAAAAUUGCAGAAGUUUUAUUUGCUGAGGUCUAAGCAAAAGGCAGAACUGGAGUGGGAUCGGAGGCAAGCUGAGAAAGGAAAUUCAAUGAUGGUCAUUGGAAAAUUAAGAUAAAGGACAAGUGUUUGAAGACAUGUUUUGAGGAUUUCUGCUUCUGGGAGAGUAUGUAAUGGCACUGGGGUGAAAAAAAUUGGACAGAUAAUACUACUGUUACUCCAAAUCUACAUGUAGUUACUACCAAAUCUCUCUCAUCUUUGUGACUUGUUUCUUUUUCUGCAUACUCAGUCUUCCAUCCAGACGAAGCAUUUCAGCUCAUUUUUUUGUUCCGAAACAGAUCAUAAAGAAGUGUGUCUACUUCAUCUUAUAUCUUUUGUGUAUCGGUUUAUGACUUUCAUGUACCAUAUCAUACCAUUCUUUUCAAAACA